GGUAGUGGCUCCAAUCCUUUCCGGCAUCUGGAGAAGAGUGCUGUCUUACAGGAGGCUCGUAUAUUCAAUGAAACACCCAUCAAUCCAAGAAGAUGUUUGCAUAUUCUUACAAAGAUUCUUUACUUACUGAACCAGGGCGAACACUUUGGAACUACAGAAGCCACAGAAGCCUUCUUUGCAAUGACUCGAUUGUUUCAAUCUAAUGAU